rnacentral:rRNA from 1 species
GAUGAACGCUGGCGGCGUGCCUAAUACAUGCAAGUAGAGCGAACAGACGAGGAGCUUGCUCCUCUGACGUUAGCGGCGGACGGGUGAGUAACACGUGGAUAACCUACCUAUAAGACUGGGAUAACUUCGGGAAACCGGAGCUAAUACCGGAUAACAUGUUGAACCGAAUGGUUCAACAGUGAAAGACGGUUUUGCUGUCACUUAUAGAUGGAUCCGCGUCGCAUUAGCUAGUUGGUAAGGUAACGGCUUACCAAGGCAACGAUGCGUAGCCGACCUGAGAGGGUGAUCGGCCACACUGGAACUGAGACACGGUCCAGACUCCUACGGGAGGCAGCAGUAGGGAAUCUUCCGCAAUGGGCGGAAGCCUGACGGAGCAACGCCGCGUGAGUGAAGAAGGUCUUCGUAUCGUAAAACUCUGUUAUUAGGGAAGAACAAAUGUGUAAGUAACUAUGCACGUCUUGACGGUACCUAAUCAGAAAGCCACGGCUAACUACGUG